rnacentral:rRNA from 1 species
CAAGUCGAGCGAGAACCAGGGCUUCGGCCCUGGGGACAGCGGCGAACGGGUGAGUAACACGUGGGUAAUCUGCCCUCGGCACCGGAAUAGCCCGGGGAAACCCGGAUUAAUGCCGGAUGGUCCCUUCACCUCGCGAGGUGUCGGGAAAAGGUAGCUUCGGCCUCCGGCCGAGGAUGAGCCCGCGGCGGAUUAGCUUGUUGGCGGGGUAACGGCCCACCAAGGCGACGAUCCGUAGCUGGUCUGAGAGGACGAUCAGCCACACUGGGACUGAGACACGGCCCAGACUCCUACGGGAGGCAGCAGUGGGGAAUCUUGCGCAAUGGGCGAAAGCCUGACGCAGCGACGCCGCGUGAGGGAAGAAGGCCUUCGGGUUGUAAACCUCUUUCAGGAGGGACGAAGCUACUCGGGUGAACAGCCCAGAGGGUGACGGUACCUCCAGAAGAAGCCCCGGCUAACUACGUGCCAGCAGCCGCGGUAAUACGUAGGGGGCAAGCGUUGUCCGGAUUUACUGGGCGUAAAGAGCGUGUAGGCGGCUAGGCAGGUCCGUUGUGAAAACUGAAGGCUUAACCUUCAGACGUCGACGGAAACCGCGUGGCUAGAGUC